AUCUCAGAGUGACAGGUCGCCUUGAGGGUGAAGUGAUCAUUACGGCCCUGUGGGGAAGUGUGCCGUCCGGGUGUUAUCGAGUCUGAUACAGAGCUCAUCCGUAGCGUGGCAGCGAACUUGGUUUCUGAGGAUAAAGAAACUGUCCCUCUACCACACAGUAAGGGUCAGGCCUGGAAUUUGUGCUUAUAAAAUAUGUCCUAGGAAGGAGUGAUGGAAAAACGGCACCUGAGACCAAAGGAGUCGCCCGCAGUGAAGUCUAGGAAAAGAGUUCCCUUGAUUGAGGAAUAGAAGAUCACAGAGGCUGCCCUGGCUCCGUACUCACUAAAAAGCUGCUUUGAAAUGCCAUCGGUCCCUCAGUCUGGACGCCCAGAGAAGUUUUAUUAAGUAAACAUUCCCGUCUUUUCCUUUUCUCCGGAGAAGCUGCGGACGGACCGUGCCUUGCUAAUUAGUGCACAUCCUUGUCUGAAGCAAAGCCUAAUAGUGUUGCAGCCAUUAAAAGACCGCCAAGUGAGAAAGUGAAGACGGUGAUGGAGCAGCUGGAAUCCGACUCCAUUAUUUUAGAGACGUUGGAGUGAGAAGGCAAACACUGAGAAGGACUGCACGCAUUUUCACAGGAACUUACCUUUGUCCCAAUGUUAUCUUUAAGAAAUCUUUAGAAACGUUGGCAUCUGAAGUAGAACCCGAGCUAGCAUAGUAGGGGCUCUGUAGAUGCGUCCAACCAGUCAGGAGAUUCCUUCUCAACUUGCCUCAAGCAAGAUGAUCAUCAGGCCUCUGUCUUCUUCGGGAGGGGCUGUGCACUCUCCAGCAUUGAUCUGGAUAUAAACAUCCAUUUCAUGGUCUGAGACAAAGGCAAGACUCUGGUUUGUCCUUAGCAGGAAUGGCAGAAGGACCAAGUUUAAAAGGGUUGUGAAGCCACUGCCCUUUGUGACAGCUGUUCAAUGCUUGCUCUAACAGUGUUAUGCUCCCUCAAACACUGUGCACUUCUUCUGAAUAGCUACAGUCACUCCAAUUCUGAGGCUGCCCCAUGAAAGUGUCAAACAGCUGUUGACAAGGACUGAAUGAACGGCUGUUUGCAGCACUCAAGUGUUUCCUAGGUGGUACUAUCCCGAGACACCAAUGAGGGUGCUAAAGAGAAACACUAGGGAAAACCACAAGAGUACUUAGGCAACAGGAAGCUAGACUGACAUGUCCAGAACUUCUUUGCAGGAGUGGAAGGUGCAUGCCCUGUGACUCAGUUUCCAACCACCAUGGAUCGUUAGAGCUAUAAUUUUUCUAGUGUGUUUAAUACUCAACAGUGGGCCCAGCUGUCUUCAUCCUUCCUUUGUUAUUUACAAAUAAAAAGCAAAAUCCCAGC